AGAGGUGUCUGUGCUUCCCAGCUAGACCGGAGCUCGCUGCAGCCCCUCACUUUUUCCCCGGUCCUGCUUCAGGCCCCACUUCCUCUCUGCAGGUGCUUAGGCCGAAAAUCAGGAAUCUCUUGAAUGAAUGCAUGAAGGUGGAGCCCUUUCCCUUAAUGCGCAGGUGAAAAGGGCACCUCGGUGGAUUCUACUAAAUUUAAUAGAAGACCCAAGACGGGGUGGGGGAGACGUGCUUUGUGCUCACCUGGCUGGUUCAUGGGCAGGUGGCCUGGAGGACCCAGCCCUGGCAGCUGUGGGGUAGCUCCAGCCUGGGCCGGACAGCUUCUUUCAUCGCAGGCACCACUGCGGACAUUGCUGGGAGGAAGAGGAGGGAGAAGCGACGGGCUUCAUUAGGAACGGAAAUGCCAAGAUUAGUGAAAGAAUGAAAAGAGUCAAAACAGCCUAGAAAAGGCUUCAAUGAUCCUCAAACUGGAUGAUCGAAUCCCGAAUAAUUGGGAAUCAACAGUAAAGGCCAAAGCUUUCGAUGGAUUGGACGAGGCGCGUCCACCCUGGGGAGGGCCAUCAUUUUAUUCAGUCUACUGAUGCAAAUGCUUAUCUCUUCUGGAAACACCUUCACAGACAGACCCAGAAUAUAGUUGAACCAAAUACUGGGCACCUCAUGGCUCCAACAGGUUGACACAAAAAAUGAACCAUUGCAGAAAACGAAGAACAGUCACCAACUCCCACCCAUGCAGCUGGCUCAUUUGCUGGGCUGCCCUCCCCAGCAGGUGGCACAGGAAUCCCUGCCUUGGCAGGGAGGAGGCCUGGGGUGUGUGCAGGUACCCAUGGGAAGUUUCUUUGCCAUGGGGAAAGCCAGAGUCACCCCUUGCUUGAACACAAGAGUUGGAGGUUUCAGUGAGCUGAGAUUACGCUAUUGCACUCCAGCCUGGGCGGCAGAGUGAGACUCUGUCUCUAGAUAAAUAAAUUAAAUAAAUAAAUAAAUAUAAUUUAAUAUAAAUAACUAGAAAUUUUUCAAUACUUGCAUCUCUGUAGGUUACCUCUGGAAGUGCAGGGCUUUGUCUUUUUGGAUUAACUCAGAAAUUAGACCUUCAGAAAACAACAUCAGCUCUGAUUCUCUGCACCCUUGAUGCUGCCGGUGGCGACUGCGGCUUCCUGAUGGAAAUGUAGACCUGAACAUAAGUCGCAGAAAAAUGCAGACUUGAGUUGGAGCUAAGCUGACUCAGGUAUUUUGAGAUCUAUAAUCUGAGUGGGGAGC
rnacentral:lncRNA from 1 species